AACGUAGGUACCGAGCGUUAUCCGGAUUCACUGGGCGUAAAGCGCGUGCAGGUGGUUUGGUAAGUCGGGCAUGAAAACUCUUGGCUCAACUAAGAGACGCUGUCCGAUACUGCCGGACUUGAGGGUGUAAGAGGGAGGUGGAAUUCCGCAUGUAGUGGUGAAAUGCGUAGAUAUGCGGAGGAACACCAGUGGCGAAGGCGGCCUCCUGGUACACUCCUGACACUCAGACGCGAAAGCUAGGGGAGCGAACGGGAUUAGAAACCCCGGUAGUCCUAGCCGUAAACGAUGAUUACUAGGUGUUAGUGGUAUCAAGCCCACUAGUGCCGAAGCUAACGCGAUAAGUAAUCCGCCUGGGGACUACGAUCGCAAGAUUAAA
rnacentral:rRNA from 1 species